rnacentral:tRNA from 1 species
AAAUAAGAAGCAAAAUAUUGCAUUUAGUUUCGACCUAAAAAUUUGAUUUUCAAAAUCCUUAUUUU